rnacentral:misc_RNA from 1 species
CGCCGGUGUACUGAAAUCAGCACUAGCACUUGCUCGCAGCUAUGGCGUUGAGGAUUAUGAGGGCGCUCGAGGGUCAGACGGGUUCAAUGCUAGGGCUUAAAGCGAUGGCUAAUGCUUUACCCCAUUCUUCGCCGAUUUCUGGGAUCGUGGACCGUAAGGACUCCACACCCCUGCUUGUUCUUCCGGAUUUUAACCAGGAAUCUGAUAAAGAUAGAACCAACAACUGCAGUAUUGGGGGGUUUG